rnacentral:lncRNA from 1 species
UUUUUUUGGGAUUUACCUAAUAUUCAACCAUUUUUGUGCAGUUACGAAAAGAAGUAAAGUUUUGUUCUGUUAUUCGUCACGACAUUCUAAGGUCAUUGGUGCAAGUCGAUAUUUUUUUGAAGCAUUUUUUGUAUUGUUUAUGUGUGUUUCUUGAUUUUUCGGCCAUUUUGGGGAAUUUACGUAAUAUUCUGCCAUUUUCGGGCAGUUACGAAAAUAAGUAAUGUUUUGUUAUGUUAUCUAUCGUCAUUGGUGCAAGUCGAAUUUUAUAUGAUGCAUUUUUUGUUUUGUUU